rnacentral:rRNA from 1 species
GAAGACGGCCACAGUAACAAGGAAACGCCUGGUAACAUUCCGAACCCAGAAGCUAAGCUUGCUACGUUGCCUGCGCUAGUCUCCGUCAAGAGGCGAAACAGCAAUGCUGUCUUCG